GAUGAACGCUGGCAGAAUGCUUAACACAUGCAAGUCAACUUGAACUUCGGUUUGGGUGGCGGACGGGUGAGUAACGCGUAAAGAACUUGCCUCACAGCUAGGGACAACAUUUGGAAACGAAUGCUAAUACCUGAUAUUAUGAUUUUAGGGCAUCCUAGAAUUAUGAAAGCUAUAUGCGCUGUGAGAGAGCUUUGUGUCCCAUUAGCUAGUUGGAGAGGUAACGGCUCACCAAGGCGAUGAUGGGUAGCCGGCCUGAGAGGGUGAACGGCCACAAGGGGACUGAGACACGGCCCUUACUCCUACGGGAGGCAGCAGUGGGGAAUAUUGGACAAUGGACCAAGAGUCUGAUCCAGCAAUUCUGUGUGCACGAUGAAGUUUUUCGGAAUGUAAAGUGCUUUCAGUUGGGAAGAAAAAAAUGACGGUACCAACAGAAGAAGUGACGGCUAAAUACGUG
rnacentral:rRNA from 1 species